rnacentral:rRNA from 1 species
CCUACGGGGGGCAGCAGUAGGGAAUCUUCCACAAUGGACGAAAGUCUGAUGGAGCAACGCCGCGUGAGUGGAGAAGGGUUUCGGCUCGUAAAGCUCUGUUGGUAGUGAAGAAAGAUAGAGGUAGUAACUGGCCUUUAUUUGACGGUAAUUACUUAGAAAGUCACGGCUAACUACGUGCCAGCAGCCGCGGUAAUACGUAGGUGGCAAGCGUUGUCCGGAUUUAUUGGGCGUAAAGCGAGUGCAGGCGGGUCAAUAAAGUUGAUGUGAAAAGCUUUGG